GAGUUGUCUGCGGUUUUCUUUGAGCUCCACUCAGCUCGGCGAGGCACCCCAACUCAGGGUGCCAAACGGAGGAACAUAAAGAGAUGUGAAAACAGAAGAGCAUGGCCAGGGGACUCUGGUGGGUUAGAGGCCCACAGGAGGAACGAAGACUAGGAGCAUGCAGGCUUGGUAGUGGUCUACAGACAGAGGGGUUCAUCCAUCACACAUGUCCUGACCUCCAUUUGACCCCAGCUUUGCAGCCAAUGAGGCGCCCUCAAACCCUAAAGAAAGCACCCCCCACUACACAGGCACACACACUUAUCUAGCCAUACAUAUACGUCCAAACACACAAGAGAUCGGGUGACACUGAGAGGAGCCUGGAUGCUCUUUGUGAAGGCCACCCCAGCUUCCAAGAAUCCUUUGUUGAUUCUUUCCUAACUAAUGGGAAAAUAUGAUUAUAUUCAUCAACAUUUUCCUGUCGGUGGAAGGGAGCUCGCCUCGAAGGCAUAGAUGAGGUUCUCAUCACUCCUAAUGUCUCAUCACCACGUUGACUGGCAUGCCUGAGGAUAGAAGACAGUGUGACGGACACUGGCAGACCUGCACGUUGACUUCCCAGUGGUAGGGCUGGUUUGAGAGUAUCUUUGGAGGUCAUGACCCUUAGGCACCAAGAGCAGGACAAACAGGACUGAGGUGCUGCAACAACACAUGGAAUGUUCUCUUUGUUUAGGUUUUUCUUCACUUUACUUGCAAAAGAAAAUCAAGUAAACUCUCCCUUCUGCACUUGAAUAAUAAAAAAAUCCUAUUAAAAUAUGUGGAAGAAACGACAUAAGAAACAUUUGUGGGAUGAAAAAUGAUAAAGUCUCUGGGUAUUGUUGUCUUAAAGCUCAAUAUGCAUUGUUCUUUCUCUUUCUAGUGGCUGUUUAACAUAGUGGUGGAAAUGUGAUUUAUUUUUAAGAUCUCACUUGAACAUAUAUUUGUUUUGUCAUCCACAACCACUUUGUCUGCAUUAUCUGUCCGUCCCUCACAAUAUAUUAUCGCCCCUGCGACUGGUUCAAUGUGGAACCGAUUGUUUCUGUAAAGAAAA